rnacentral:ncRNA from 1 species
GAUGACAAAAGGCAAAACCAUCUAAAGGUGGUGACGCAAAGCCACGGGUCUAAAGUCGCUGACUACGAUAGCCGGGUUGCCAAA